rnacentral:rRNA from 4 species
UGUUUCGGCUAGGGGGCCAUCCCGGCUUACCAACCCGAUGCAAACUGCGAAUACCGGAGAAUGUUAUCACGGGAGACACACGGCGGGUGCUAACGUCCGUCGUGAAGAGGGAAACAACCCAGACCGCCAGCUAAGGUCCCAAAGUCAUGGUUAAGUGGGAAACGAUGUGGGAAGGCCCAGACAGCCAGGAUGUUGGCUUAGAAGCAGCCAUCAUUUAAAGAAAGCGUAAUAGCUCACUGGUCGAGUCGGCCUGCGCGGAAGAUGUAACGGGGCUAAACCAUGCACCGAAGCUGCGGCAGCGACACUCAGGUGUUGUUGGGUAGGGGAGCGUUCUGUAAGCCUGCGAAGGUGGCCUGUGAGGGUUGCUGGAGGUAUCAGAAGUGCGAAUGCUGACAUAAGUAACGAUAAAGCGGGUGAAAAGCCCGCUCGCCGGAAGACCAAGGGUUCCUGUCCAACGUUAAUCGGGGCAGGGUGAGUCGACCCCUAAGGCGAGGCCGAAAGGCGUAGUCGAUGGGAAACGGGUUAAUAUUCCCGUACUUGGUGUUACUGCGAAGGGGGGACGGAGAAGGCUAUGUUGGCCGGGCGACGGUU